CCGCCGGCGACCGGCGCACGGGUGAGUAACACGUAUGCAACCUGGCCGUGACAGAUGGAUAACCGGGAGAAAUCCCGCCUAAUACAGCAUGACGCCGGGAAGGGACAUCCCUUUCCGGCCAAAGGGGACGACUCCGGUCACGGAUGGGCAUGCGGCGCAUUAGGUAGUUGGUGGGGCAACGGCCCACCAAGCCAACGAUGCGUAGGGGUUCUGAGAGGAAGGUCCCCCACAUUGGAACUGAGACACGGUCCAAACUCCUACGGGAGGCAGCAG
rnacentral:rRNA from 1 species